rnacentral:lncRNA from 1 species
GAGGUAUAAAAAAUUAAACUCAUCUACUUUUGCAGAGGGAUCCUCUUUUGAAGAGGUCGAGUACUAGUUAGCUGAGACAAAGAAGGUCUUCACGACUCUUUGGGUGAUUCCCGAACAGAGAUUCAUACUUGCCACCUACAUGCUGGUGGGAGAGGCAGGUCGCUGGUGGAAACUCAAGCAGGCUAUCCUACUUAUUCUAGUCACUUGCCAAUAAUUUUUUAUGGUUUUAAAUGCAUAGUACCUCCCAGAGCAUC